rnacentral:rRNA from 1 species
AUUCUGGCUCAGGAUGAACGCUGGCGGCGUGCUUAACACAUGCAAGUCGAACGGGAUCCAUCAGGCUUUGCUUGGUGGUGAGAGUGGCGAACGGGUGAGUAAUGCGUGACCGACCUGCCCCAUACACCGGAAUAGCUCCUGGAAACGGGUGGUAAUGCCGGAUGCUCCAGUUGAUCGCAUGGUCUUCUGGGAAAGCUUUCGCGGUAUGGGAUGGGGUCGCGUCCUAUCAGCUUGACGGCGGGGUAACGGCCCACCGUGGCUUCGACGGGUAGCCGGCCUGAGAGGGCGACCGGCCACAUUGGGACUGAGAUACGGCCCAGACUCCUACGGGAGGCAGCAGUGGGGAAUAUUGGGCAAUGGGCGCAAGCCUGACCCAGCAACGCCGCGUGAAGGAAGAAGGCUUUCGGGUUGUAAACUUCUUUUCUCAGGGACGAAGCAAGUGACGGUACCUGAGGAAUAAGCCACGGCUAACUACGUGCCAGCAGCCGCGGUAAUACGUAGGUGGCAAGCGUUGUCCGGAAUUACUGGGUGUAAAGGGAGCGUAGGCGGGAUGCCAAGUCAGCUGUGAAAACUAUGGGCUUAACCUGUAGACUGCAGUUGAAACUGGUAUUCUUGAGUGAAGUAGAGGUUGGCGGAAUUCCGAGUGUAGCGGUGAAAUGCGUAGAUAUUCGGAGGAACACCGGUGGCGAAGGCGGCCAACUGGGCUUUAACUGACGCUGAGGCUCGAAAGUGUGGGGAGCAAACAGGAUUAGAUACCCUGGUAGUCCACACUGUAAACGAUGAUAACUAGGUGUGGGGGGUCUGACCCCUUCCGUGCCGCAGCUAACGCAAUAAGUUAUCCACCUGGGGAGUACGACCGCAAGGUUGAAACUCAAAGGAAUUGACGGGGACCCGCACAAGCAGUGGAUUAUGUGGUUUAAUUCGAAGCAACGCGAAGAACCUUACCAGCACUUGACAUCCGACUAACGAAGUAGAGAUACAUUAGGUGCCCUUCGGGGAAAGUCGAGACAGGUGGUGCAUGGUUGUCGUCAGCUCGUGUCGUGAGAUGUUGGGUUAAGUC